UGCGUAGGUGGUCGGGUAAGUCUGAUGUGAAAUCUCUGGGCUCAACCCAGAAAUGGCAUUGGAUACUAUUCGGCUGGAGGGUUGGAGGGGGGACUGGAAUUCUCGGUGUAGCAGUGAAAUGCGUAGAUAUCGAGAGGAACACCAGUGGCGAAGGCGAGUCCCUGGACAACUCCUGACACUAAGGCACGAAAGCUGGGAGCAAACA
rnacentral:rRNA from 1 species